rnacentral:lncRNA from 1 species
UCUGGCUCCAACAUUUACACAGGGGUUCCUUGAAGACCCUUUUCAGAGAGGUUCCAGGUUUAACUGGAAAGGUUCGGCCUGUGUAGCAACACAAAAGCUGGUGGAGUGCCCAACUAGACCAAAAUGGACCAAGACAACCAUCAGGAAGAUGGAGAACACUUUUAAGAAGCUGGACACCAACAGGACUUACAAGGCCAUCGGAGAGUUCAAGACCGUCCUCCUGUGGAUCAGUGACAUGAGAGAGAGAAAGGAAAGGUCAAUGGAUAAAUGCCAGUAGUCAUCCAUCCAUCCAUCCAUCCAUCCAUCCAUCCAUCCACACUGUCAAACUGGAGAAGUGGACUGUCACUGACACACACAGAGGAGACCUUCCAGUCACUCCUGAAGAAUGAAUGCCUCUGAUAUCAUAUCAACCACAGCUUCCAUCCACCCCUGGCCUGGACAGUCUUCUAUCUAAUCUACACGAUCACCUGGAGCAAUGGACUGUACACACACACACACACACACACACACACACACACACACACCACUCCACCCAUUCACCACUGGCCUGUGUACCAGCCACUCCAGCCUCCAAGUAAUCUGAUGCACCAGACUCUACCUCCCACGGCACAAAAGCCUGGGGACUAGGUUUGCAUCCAACGGACUCCAACUGACAUCAUUUGCCUAAAUAAUCAGCACAUUUCCAUUAUACAGGAGCUCAACUUGUAAGUGAAUGUUUUUGGAGCACUGUCCCAUGACUCCACCAUAACAGUGAGUCAUCACAGGAUGCAGCUCAGUGUCCAGUUGUACAACACUGUAGAGUACAACAAACGGUCCUUCUAUUUUCUAUGGUGGUUCCAUCAUUGGUUUAAAGGUGGCUGUGACGGUCUCCUGGCUCUCUGACCACCUGGCUGAUUGACCUGUAAUGCUGAGAACAUUCCUGCAGGUCUGUUAUCUUUCACAAGUGUACCUUUACCUGCAUUCCACCUGUACUUUUUUUUAAAUCUUUUUUUAUUUAACCUUUAUUUAACUAGGCAAGUCAGUUAAGAACAAAUUCUUAUUUACAAUGACGGCCUAGGAACAGUGGGUUAACUGCCUUGUUCAGAGGCAGAACGACAGAUUUUUACCUUGUCAGCUCGGGGAUUCAAUCUAGCAACCUUUCAGUUACUGGCCCAACGCUCUAACCACUAGGCUACCUGCCACCCGGGUUCAAUCAAAGCCCUACCAUAGUAAUGUUUUGAUGCAGUAUCUUUGCAUACAAACGACUGGAUGGAAAGCAUAGUGAGUGGAGUAUCUCCAUUAAAAGUCCACUUUAGUCCAGGUCUAGUCUUCAUCUAGUCCUUACAAUAGAUACAGCUCUCUUUUGUCAAGAACAAUGCAAUUGUCAAAGCUUUGAAUCAUAUCUACUGAAUGUAGGAUUUUAGCAGUAUUUUGGUAUUUCAAUAGGAAAAGUGUAUUUUCUUAAUAAAUGUUUUUCUUUAGUUAUAUUUACUUAG